UAAAUAAAUUAUGGACCUAAUUUGAUUUUGGACAUAAUAAAAUUGUUCUAUCUAAUUGCUAAGUUAUAUUAGAUUUACUUUCUUUCUUGAAAAUGGUCUUUUAUCACUUUUUCAAUUGCUAAGAUAAAAGUAAAAAAAUUACAUUUUCAAUGGCUUAUAUAAAAACUACUUACUAUAUUUUCAUUAGCUUAGAUAGAACAAUUU
rnacentral:lncRNA from 1 species